rnacentral:lncRNA from 1 species
GGAUGAGACAUUCACAAUAUGCUAUUCUUGAAGGACAUGAUAAUUGGAGUGAGUGUGAAGAGUUAGGAGUUAUUAGGGACAUUAAAUGUUAUUCCAUUAAAUGUUGUAAUGUAAUUUAUGGUAUACGAAAACUUUGUUUUUUUUUUAAUAUGGGACACUAAUUAUUAAAAUGUUACUAAUGAUCCAUUUUGUUUAUUCUGCCUUUUGUUUUGUUUUUUUGUGUUUUCUUUUGUUUUAUUGAACUCUUGCAGUCUGCAUUCUUUGUAUUGAAUGAGUGGGAUAUUCUUUUUUUUUUUUCUGAUUAAGAUGACAUUCCUUUUUUUUUCGUUUUAAUUUAUAAGCAUCUGGUGUGUUUAGCUAAAAGAUGAGCUAUAUAUAUA